rnacentral:rRNA from 1 species
CGAGUGAAUACCUCACGGGGUAGAGCACUGGAUGGGCUAGGGCCGCCCACAGCGGUACCAAACCCAACCAAACUCCGAAUACGUGAGAGUACUGCUCGGGAGACACACGGCGGGUGCUAACGUCCGUCGUGGAGAGGGAAACAACCCUGACCGACAGCUAAGGCCCCCAAUUCGUGGCUAAGUGGGAAAGGAUGUGGGACUCCCAAAACAACCAGGAGGUUGGCUUAGAAGCAGCCAUCCUUUAAAGAAAGCGUAACAGCUCACUGGUCUAAAUAAGGGGUCCUGCGCCGAAAAUGUAACGGGGCUCAAGCCACGAGCCGAAGCUUCGGAUUCAUACCGCAAGGUGUGAGUGGUAGCGGAGCGUUCCCUAGGCCUGUGAAGGAAGACCCGUGAGGGCUUCUGGAGGUAUGGGAAGUGCGAAUGCUGACAUGAGUAACGACAAAGAGUGUGAAAGACACUCUCGCCGAAAGUCCAAGGGUUCCUGCGUAAAGUUAAUCUGCGCAGGGUUAGCCGGCCCCUAAGGCGAGGCCGAAAGGCGUAGUCGAUGGGAACGGGGCGAACAUUCCCCGGCCAGCGGAUGGUGACGGAUGCCGUGUAUCGUCUGACCUUAUCGGAUUGGUCAGGCGGUGAAGGGGUCCCAGGAAAUAGCCUCCGCGUAAGACCGUACCCGAAACCGACACAGGUGGACUGGUAGAGUAUACCAAGGCGCUUGAGAGAACUAUGCUGAAGGAACUCGGCAAAUUGCACGCGUAACUUCGGAAGAAGCGUGACCCUUUUCUGCGCAAGCAGAGGAGGGUGGCACAGACCAGGGGGUAGCGACUGUUUAUCAAAAACACAGGGCUCUGCGAAGUAGCAAUACGACGUAUAGGGUCUGACGCCUGCCCGGUGCUGGAAGGUUAAAGGGAGAGGUGCAAGCUUUGAACUGAAGCCCCAGUAAACGGCGGCCGUAACUAUAACGGUCCUAAGGUAGCGAAAUUCCUUGUCGGGUAAGUUCCGACCUGCACGAAUGGCGUAACGACUUCCCCGCUGUCUCCAACAUAGACUCAGUGAAAUUGAAUUCCCCGUGAAGAUGCGGGGUUCCUGCGGUCAGACGGAAAGACCCCGUGCACCUUUACUGUAGCUUUGCGCUGGCCUUCGUGUCGGCAUGUGUAGGAUAGGUGGUAGGCUUUGAAGCAGGGACGCCAGUUCCUGUGGAGCCAUCCUUGAAAUACCACCCUUAUCUUCGUGGAUGUCUAACCGCGGUCCGUUAUCCGGAUCCGGGACAGUGUAUGGUGGGUAGUUUGACUGGGGCGGUCGCCUCCCAAAGAGUAACGGAGGCGCGCGAUGGUUAGCUCAGACCGGUCGGAAAUCGGUCGUCGAGUGCAAUGGCAUAAGCUAGCCUGACUGCGAGACUGACAAGUCGAGCAGAGACGAAAGUCGGUCAUAGUGAUCCGGUGGUCCCGUGUGGAAGGGCCAUCGCUCAACGGAUAAAAGGUACGCCGGGGAUAACAGGCUGAUGACCCCCAAGAGUCCAUAUCGACGGGAUGGUUUGGCACCUCGAUGUCGGCUCAUCACAUCCUGGGGCUGGAGA